rnacentral:lncRNA from 1 species
GGAGCCGGGCCAGCCAGGCUCCGUCGGGUGCCAAGGAGUCAACGGCUCCCAGGUGAGUCUGCCCUGGGCACCCUGCUCUGAUAUUUGGGGUUUUCCAGCUGCUGCACUCACCCCGUCCCUUCCUUGCUCUCUCCCCAGGGAGAGAUGGGUCCUCCUGGCUUGCCCGGCCCCCAGGGCCCUAAGGGACCACAGGGCCUGCAGGGGCGUCGCGGCCCCCCUGGACUGGGGGGCACCCAGGGUCCAGCUGGGAUGGAGGGGUCCUCUGGUCCCAAAGGAGACACCGGGUUUAUUGGCCUGCCGGGUUCAAAAGGCACCCAAGGAGAGAGGGGCUGCCGAGGUCCUGCUGGAGCCAAGGGAGACCUGGGAGCCAAAGGAGACAAGGUACGAGGUUCCCAGGCUGAGGCUUGGAGCCACUUUGUGUCCCUUUGCCUUCUAGAGCUGUGAAAAUCAGCCAGACCGAGCUCUGCAUGCUCACACCGUGCAGCUGCUCCUCAGCCGCCCUUUGUCACCUUUCCUUGGUUUGAUGUCUAAAAUCCUGCCUUGGUUUGGUGUUUAAAAAAAGUCACUGUUCUGGGUCCUCGGGAUGCUCUCGGUGGGGGCUGUGGGGCGGUCACCAAGGGGGGCUGCAGGCUGGCCGUGACGUGCUGCCACCUUGUCUCCCAAGGGUCCUCAUGGAGCACAGGGAGCAACGGGGCCUCCAGGACCGCGGGGUCAAACAGGCUUGCAGGGCUUCCCCGGCCCCCGCGGGGCGGCAGGACCCCGGGGACCCGAGGUAAGGCAGGGUGCUGGGGGGGGUACAGGCAGGUGGCCUGGGAGGGGACAGCCCUGAGGGCUGCAAGGAGUGCGGCCAGCACUACCAGCUGCUGCCACCGCUGCCU